rnacentral:rRNA from 2 species
GGAUCAGUACGUUGGUCGUGCCUUAGGUACGUACUGGUGUUACUGGUUCCUACCUUCUGACGAACCAUCAUGUCAUUAAUUUGGUGUGGCGGGGAAUCAGGACUGUUACUUUGAAAAAAUUAGAGUGUUUAAAGCAGGCUCGCGCUUGAAUACAUUAGCAUGGAAUAAUGAAAUAGGACGUUGAUCCUAUUUUGUUGGUUUCUAGGAUUGACGUA